ensembl:lncRNA
AUGACACUAGCUUACUCGUUUUUAAAAAUAAUAUAUUAAAAUAGGAAAUUAAACUUGUUUACAUUUUGUUUCAUGGCUAGAGCGUGUGAUAAAGCGAAUUAGAAUUCCACUCCAAUUCGAAACAAUGUGUAAAGACGUAUUCCAUCUCUAUGCGACCGAGAGGGUCACAAUGCCGACGCUUCACAUGGAACUCCAGAACCCAAGAUAUAUGUCCAGAACACUCAAAAAAUCUUCAGUUCUUGAUCGACAAACACCGAGAGAGACAGCAUUAUUAUGGCAAGCUUUUCAUUCAUCUUCCCCGAAGACAGACGUUGUUCCAUUAAGGACAACGAAGUCAAUUCAGGGUGGAUGUCAACGGUAACCAAACUCAACACCCAUGGCGGUCCAGAGUCAGAGAGUCAGAACAUCCAUCAGUGCGUUGCAGAUGUACUUGGUAACAAGUACCACUACGCGAAUGCCAUUGACAGCUCUCUGCUCUGGACCGUUGGGUACACCCCCUACAUUCCCCCAGCUCUGAAAGGAAGAAGCUUCCCCUCUGUCGAGAGCUUCUUCCUGGAUGAGUGGGAGCCACUGACACUCCUGCAGACUCCUCAGGUUCUGUCCACCAGUGUUUCCAUCAAGGAAGACAACCUGAUCCAGUCUGCUGCGGGCCUAGUGUCUCUGGUUCUGUCAUCCAGUGUUCCCAUCGAGGAAGACAACCUGAUCCAGUCUGCUGCAGGCCUAGUGUCUCAGGUUCUGUCCACCAGUGUUGCCAUUGUGGAGAAUGACCUGAUCCAGUCUGCUGCAGGCCUAGUGUCUCAGGUUCUGUCCACCAGUGUUGCCAUCGUGGAGAGUGACCUGAUCCAGUCUGCUGCAGGCCUAGUGUCUCAGGUUCUGUCCACCAGUGUUAUCAUCCUGAAAAAUGACCUGAUCCAGUCUGCUGCAGGCCUUGUGUCUCAGGUUCUGUCCACCAGUGUUAUCAUCGUGGAAAAUGACCUGAUCCAGUCUGCUGCAGGCCUAGUGUCUCAGGUUCUGUCCAGCAGUGACACUAGAGUGAAGGAUCGUAUUGAUUCCACACUGACAGACUCCAACCAACCUGAGGUCCAUGUGGCGGAUGUCUCAACCGAGAGAAGUAAAUUAGUCAUCACUAUUUCUAUGUUUUCAAUAGAGAGUUGCAAUGCGUUGGUCCAUGAAGUUGAUGCUAUUGCUACCAGCCUGGAGCACCCGGCUGAGAAAAUGUCUACCUCUACCGCUGAUGGCCACUUCGUUUCAUCCACUGCUGUUGCCAAUCAGAAGAAAUCAAGGGGUGAAUUCGUCUCAUCUCUACGGAGACUGUUCACGAGAAAGUACAGGAAGCCUGCUAAAGUGUCUUCCAAGAAGGAGCACAUUCACUUGGUUGACCGCCUCAAUGCUGAAGUCACCCACUGAGGACACUCACUCACUGCUGAAAGCAUCCAGAAUGAUGCUUCUGUUUCUCCUCAACGCCACCUACACCCCUGCCCCUCUCCCCCACACCAAACCCUACCAGGGUAGGGUUGAAUUCCAGAUCAAUUCAGUCAAUUCAAGAAGUAAACUGAAAUUCCAAUUCCAAUUGUUUCUCAUAGGAGGCAUUGAGGUAAAUUUGAAUUGCUAUUGGAAUUUCAGUUUACUUACUGAAUUGACUGAAUUGAAAAUGAAUUGACCCCUAACCUGAUCCCUAAGCCUCCACCCCAUCCAUUUCUAUCUUCAGUAAAUUUUGUCAAAUUUUAUUUGAAUGUGUUUUGUAUCUUCAUUGAAACCACAAUGCAUCUCUAACGAGAGUCACUCAUGUUACACAUCUAGAUUUAUCAUCAAAUGUCGUAGAAUUCAAUGACAAAUGCAGUGGUUUAGCAGUUCAACUUCAGUACUUGUCAAUGAGUCACUGCACUGUGACCUUCAGAAACAUGUAACAUUGUGGAAUAACUGAACACGUUUGCUGACAUUCUGUUACAAUGUAACUACACUGAACAAAAAUAUUAACGCAACAUGUAAAGUGUUGGUACCA